rnacentral:SRP_RNA from 1 species
GCCAGGUGUGGUGGCUCACGCCUGUAAUCCCAGCACUUUGGGAGGCUGAGACAGGAGGAUUGCUUGGGUCUAGGAGUUCAAGACCAGCCUAGGCAACAUAGUGAGACCCUGUCUCUA